rnacentral:rRNA from 1 species
AUUGAACGCUGGCGGCAGGCUUAACACAUGCAAGUCGAGCGAGCCGCGGACGGGUGAGGAAUGGCUGGGAAACUGCCUGAUGGAGAGGGAUAAGUACUGGACACUGUAGCUAAUACCGCCUAGCAUCAGAUGUGCCCCGUUGGGAUUAGGUAGUAGGUGGGGCAAUGGCUCACCUAGGCGACGAUCUCUAGCUGGUCUGAGAGGAUGCCCAGCCACACUGGAACGUAGACACGGUCCAGACUCCUACGGGAGGCAGCAGUGGGGAAUAUUGCACAAUGGGCGCAAGCCUGAUGCAGCCAUGCCGCGUGUGUGAAGAAGGCCUUCGGGUUGUAAAGCACUUUCAGCGAGGAGGCGUUACUCGCAGAAGAAGCACCGGCUAACUCCGGGCCAGCAGCCGCGGUAAUUC